rnacentral:tRNA from 1 species
GAGAUGGCUCAGUGGUAAGAGCACUGACUGCUCUUCCAGAGGUCCUGAGUUCAAUUCCCAGCACCACA